UUGAGACUCCCAAGACACAACUCGAACUUAUAUUGAAACAUGGGAUGCCUAGGUCUUAAGGAAUUAGUUCGUGUACAAUUCUUGUUCGAAAGUUUUACCUGCGAGUGAAUUCAUGGUCGACCUAAUUUCCCUACUGAUUCGUUAUCUUGACUUGAAGGAGAGGAUUAUCUAAUAUCUUCUGACUGUGCUUUAUUGUCUAACUUGCUCGAGGGCUAGCAAGACUUAAGUUAUGGGGGUGUUUGAUGUGAGUGGGUAAUUGUCUAACUUGUUCCUCGGAGUAUACAAUGGAAUGGAGGGUAUCGUAUUACUGCUCCAAGUCAGUUUUGACCACUUCGAUAUUAAGUUGGUCUUGCUGUCUCCAAAAUCUGAAGAUCACGAUACCAGGAUGUGUGGAAAGAAUUUCUAUUUGAGUCAGAUUAAAGAGCUGUGUGCCAAUCCUAUUUGAGGCGACUGAGAUAAUUUCUAGAGCACUCAUUUCAGCUGGAAUCACAAACAGAGUUGACACCGAUGAAUGGAAUCCAUCCACUGAUACACAUCUUCCUCGAUUGAUAACCUCUCUGGAAAUGUUGUGAUACACCCAAAAUUUUAACUAUUAUUCCAGCAGUUGUGUUUGUCUACGACAGUUUGAUCAACUAGCACGGGACCAAGUUUUCUAUAGAUUGCAAACUUGAGUUUGCUCGUACUGCUUGCUCAUCUAAAUUCUGCUGCUGGGCUGCGCUGCAAGCAAAACUCGUUCCUUUGUUGAGAGCUCUACUUUACUGUUGAUCAGUUCCAGAGAUGUCCACUGUUUUUCAAUAACCAUGUUCGAGCCUUGUUUCCAUUCAAUACACAUCCAACACAUGUUAUCCUUGCUAGCCAUAUUCUUGCCAAGUCUCUUUUCUCAGCCCUCUUACAAUUACUGCUCUUGAGGGCAAAUAAAAUCAAACUCAGGGGAGAAAGCUUUGGUUCUGCUUUCGGAUAGAAGUGUUGUGACAGUUCCCACAGAAGACCUUCUACCAACUAAUCCUCGGAUACUUGACUAAGUUGAUGAUCUUCCACAACUAAGUUAUUUGAGCGUUUAGUUCUUCACAAUCUUCAAUAUAGAUAUUUACAAGAUAAUUUAAAUAGAAUGGCAGGCUCUGGAUUUUUGUCCGUCAAUCCAUAUAAAAAUGUCUAGGUAUAUGGGGAUGAUAAAGAAAGAAGCUUUUGGACACUCCUCAUGCUUAUGUUGUAGCUGAUGCGGCAUACAAUGCAAGGAUAGCAGAUGAAGUAAGCCUGGCUAUAAUUAUCAGGUUAGCUGCAGUUUUUGUUAUGAUAUUCUUCCUUAGAGCAUGCUGUAGUUUUCUUUGUAAUAAAUAGUGUUUGCGUGAUUAACUUUAUUUACCACUAUUUGUUUGGUACCUGGUUUGAAGUUUAAGCUGAAAAGGUUAAGAGAGUGGACGGAAGGGGGCACAAAAUGAGGAAAU